rnacentral:rRNA from 1 species
GAGACUCUGUGCGCGUGCAUAUCAAUAAGCGGAGGAAAAGAAACUAACAAGGAUUCCCUUAGUAACGGCGAGUGAAGCGGGAAGAGCUCAAAUUUGAAAUCUUCAAGGUUUCUACCUUGACGAAUUGUAGUUUAUAGAAGUGUUUUCUGUUAGUAGAGUUUGGUAAAAGUUCCUUGGAAUAGGACAUCAUAGAGGGUGAGAAUCCCGUAUUUGGUCAUUCCUUCCUAGCUUUGUGAUACACUUUCAACGAGUCGGAUUGUUUGGGAAUGCAGUCCAAAAUGGGUGGUAAAUUUCAUCUAAAGCUAAAUAUUGGCGAGAGACCGAUAGCGAACAAGUACCGUGAGGGAAAGAUGAAAAGAACUUUGAAAAGAGAGUUAAACAGUACGUGAAAUUGUCAAAAGGGAAGCGUUUGACACCAGUGUUGUUUUUCCGAAAAUCAAUUACGAAUGUUUUAUUUUUGAGAAGUUAUGACUUCAUCGGCUUGCUUCUCUCUUUAUGAAACUUUCUUAAUGCACUUUUCGGUUAACAAGUCAACAUCAAUUUCUUUUGUUGUAAAAGGGUAUGAGGAAGGUGGCUUUCUUUUCGGAGAAAGUGUUUAUAGCCUUGUACCUCUGCAAUCGGAGAGAUUGAGGUCUGCAGCGUAGAUCCUUCGGGGUUAGAUACAUUUGUGCUAAGUUAUAGCUUUUCAUAGACAACUUGUUGACUAUGUUUAGUCUUGUAGCUUACUCGCUUAUGCUAUUUUACCUACGCUUAGGAUGUUGACGAUCAGCUGAGCGCG